GAUGAACGCUGGCGGCGUGCCUAACACAUGUAAGUCGAACGUGAGGGUGCUAGCAAUAGUGCCCAAAAGUGGCGAACGGGUGAGUAACACGUAGAUAACCUACCCUGGAGUGGGGGAUAACGACUGGAAACGGUCGCUAAUACCGCAUUCGACUCUCUUUACGGGAGUAUGGAGAGUGAAAGAUUUAUUGCUCCAGGAGGGGUCUGCGUCCGAUUAGCUAGUUGGUGGGGUAAUGGCCUACCAAGGCGAUGAUCGGUAGCUGGUCUGAGAGGAUGAUCAGCCACACUGGGACUGAGACACGGCCCAGACUCCUACGGGAGGCAGCAGUAAGGAAUAUUGGACAAUGGGCGCAAGCCUGAUCCAGCCAUACCGCGUGGGUGAAGAAGGCCUUCGGGUUGUAAAGCCCUUUUGGCGGGGACGAUGAUGACGGUACCCGCAGAAUAAGCCCCGGCUAACUUCGUGCCAGCCGCCGCGGUAAGAC
rnacentral:rRNA from 1 species